GGGGGGGGGGGGGGGGGGGGGGGGGGGUCUGUCCCCAUGGGCACUGUCCCCCCUCUGUCCCCACGGGCACUGUCCCCUCUCUCUGUCCCCUCUCUGUCCCCAUGGCACUGUCCUCUCUCUGUCCCCACAGCACUGUCCCCUCUGUGUCCCCUACGGCACUGUCCCCUCUGUGUCCCCCCAGGCUCAGCUGGGGCGGGGGUGGCUCCGGAGGGACAGGGGAGCCCCCAGGGCUGGUGGCAGCUGCGACAUCCCGGGGGGACAGCCCGGUGUCACCUCAGCGCUGGCCUGGGGGGUGAAUUCCCACCCAAAACUCUUCGCUUUGGGCACUUUCCUCUCAAUCCUGCAAACCACUGCUCGUGACUCGUCAAAACAGCCCCUCCAUCUCUAUUCCCUCUCUCCCCAAUCCUGCAAAUCACUGAUUUUCCUGGUGACUCCUCAAAACAACCCUUCCAUCUCUGCAUUCCCUCUUUCCCUUCAACCCCACUGCCAGAGCAAUUUCCCAAAUUCCCGGUGAUUUCCCCAAACAACUUCUCCAUCUCUGCAUCCCCUUUCCCCAGCCCCAGAGCCAGGAUAAUUUCCCAAAUUCCCGGUGAUUUCCCCAAACAGCCCCUCCAUGCCUACGUUCCUAUUUCCCAACCCCACCUCCAGCCCCCGCGAUUUCCCCGGAUGUGCCCAGGGCUCCCGAUCGCCUUUCAGGUGCUCAUUCCCUGAAAUCAAAUCCCCCUCAUCUCCAAACUGGAUGGGUUUAGGGGCGGCGAGCGGGGACCCCCCGCACCUUUGAUCGAGGCUCUGCUCGCUCCCAGAGCCCGCGGGAUUUGUGAUCCCCGGGCCCCCGCCGUAAAUUCAUCCUGUCCGAGGAGGCAGCGGCGGCUUUUGGGCAGCAGAGACCCCGCAGCACCCAGAGAUUUCCUGCAGCACCCAGAGAUUUCCCCCAGCACCCAGAGAUUUCCCUGCAGCACCCAAAGAUUUCAUCCAGCACCCAGAGAUUUCCUGCAGCACCCAGAGAUUUCCUGCAGCACCCAGAGAUUUCCCCCAGCACCCAGAGAUUUCCCUGCAGCACCCAAAGAUUUCAUCCAGCACCCAGAGAUUUCCUGCAGCACCCAGAGAUUUCCUGGCACCCCAAACUGUCCAAACAAUAUCCCUGCCUGGCCCUGGCACCCCGAAUUGUCUGAGCACACAUCACAGAGCUGUUCCCUGGCACCCCAAACUGUCCAAGCACACACUGCAGGACCAUUCCUUGGCACCCCAAACUGUCUGAGCAAUGUUCCUCCUCCUGCCCUGGCACCCCAAACUGUCCAAAAAGAGUCCCUGCCUGGCCCUGGCACCCCAAAUAUCCGAGCCCACGCUGUAGGGCUGUUCCCUGGCACCCCAAAUAUCCGAGCCCACAUCACAGGACCAUUCCCUGGCACCCCAAAUAUCCGAGCCCACACUGCAGAGCUGUUCCCUGGCACCCCAAAUAUCCGAGCCCACAUCACAAGGCCGUUCCCUGGCACCCCAAAUGUCGAGCCCACAUCACAGGGCCGUUCCCCGCUCCUGCUCCACACCCGGGGCGGUGGGAGGCUCGCUCCGGACGCUCUGGAAGCUGACACGACCCCCAGCGUCCCCCCCCCACCUCACACCAAAGCUCUGCCCAGCAUCCUUUCGGGAUUUGUCUCAUCCCUUAAGCCUCUCCUGAGGCUUUGGGGAUGCUCAGCCCUCCUGAGCAGCUCCAGGGGUGGAUUCAGCGCCCGAAAUCCUCCCUGUGCUGCAGCCUCUCCA
rnacentral:lncRNA from 12 species